rnacentral:rRNA from 1 species
GAAUUUUAUAUUUAUUGUAAUUAUUUAAAUUAUAAUAAAUAUUUUAUUGGGAGGAUAAUUAAAUUAUGUUAACUUUAAUUUUUAUAAACAUUAAUUAGUGAGGAGUAAAUUUAAAAGAAUAAUAUUAAUUAAUAAAGAAUUAAUUACCUUAGGGAUAACAGCAUAAUGGUUUUUUGUAGUUCAUAUAUAAAGAAUUGUUUAU